rnacentral:lncRNA from 1 species
CUGUUUUUUAAAUAAUAUUUUUUAUCCACCUUGGCAUGUUCUCCUCCACCAGUCUUACACACUGCUUUUGGAUAACUUUAUGCAUUUACUCCUGGUGCAAAAAGUCAAGCAGUUCAGUUUGGUUUGAUGCCUUGUGAUCAUCCAUCUUCCUCUUGAUUAUAUUCCAGAGGUUUUCAAUGUGGUAAAAUUAAAGAAACUCGUAAUUUUUAGGGGGUUUCUUAUUUUUUUGCAGAGCUGUAUUUAGUUUAAAAUUGUUUUUAAUAAUUGUACAGCAUUUUACAGAAGUAUGCAGCCAGUACUACGUGGCAAAAAAUUCUCCUCAGACCUCAGUUUUGACCCGAGUUGUUGUUAUUCUUUACAGACGGAAGCAGAGGUACUCCUCCUCCUGCAGCUCCCGGAAGGGAACCGGCUCUGAGCGGGACCCCACGGCCCCUGAGCAGCAGGACGUCCCGCUCUGGUCCCCCGAGAGCCCGGCGGUGCGGCGGGUCUCCAGGCUGAGCAGCUCCGAGUGCAACAGCUCAGACGAGACCACCAACCCCCCGUCCGAGCAGGAGGACAGUGCCUACCGCUCCAGCACCAGCGAGACGGCCCCGCCCGAAUCCCCCCGCCCGGGACGUCCCGUCCGAGACGAGUCUCCUCUGGCCACACGACCCAAACAGGGCCGGACCCCCCCCUUCCGCCCGCGCCUCCUGCAGGAGCCGUCCCAGACGAGCCCACGACCGGCCAAUCACCGCAGACUGGACCCCUGGCAGGCCUCGUCCGACCUGAGCUCCAAAUCCGGCUCUGAUCAGGAGCGGGGCGAGUCCGGGGCCAGCGAGCCGUCAGACGAGAGACCCCGAGCCCCCGCCUCCAACUCCGCCUCCACAUCUAGCUCCGCCCCUCAGGGACCCGGAGUGGCUCUCACUACGUACUUCAACGUGGACAACUGCAUGACGGACACCUACAGACUGAAGUACCACCACCAGAGGCCGCUAGUGCUUGCCAUACCCGAGCAGAGGGGAGGGGGCAGGGGGGCGGAGCACCGAGACACCCCCCACUCCGUCCACUCCGCCCAUACGGACGCUCCGGAGCACAGCAAGAACAGGCCCGAGACAGGCCCAAGCAGCAAUAAGUCCACUGCAAAGUGGCACCCAGUAACUCCUAAAGGACUGGACGAGCGUGGAUAUUUGUGAAGGUCCUGAUUGUUGGAAAAUAUGCAGUUUGAAGCUGAGGCCAAAGAUUGGAGGAGGAGGAGGAGGAGGAGGAGGAGAGUCAGUGGAUGUUUAUUAUUGGACUCUGGGAGCUGAGGCUGGAGGAGAGGCAGGUGUGUGUUUCUGAGAAGGGUGGUUGCUGGGGUUCUGUCCUGGUGCAGGUGUGUGUGUGGGGGGGGUGGGGGCAGGAGGGCAGAAUGCACUUUGGCUUAUCAUAGAGUUCACAUGCAAACCAUGGCUGGCCAUUUCUGUGCUUUACUGGAGUUUCUUCAGGAGAUCUGACUGAAGGUAAGGAAAGAGUCUGAGCUCGCGUGUCUCGGUGAAGUCGGAACGUUACGGUUUCUCCGGCGGUAAAGUUAGAAUUUUACCGCGGACCAGAACUUUGUUGCGUCUUCACAGGUUGCUUAUGGAGUGCCUUCCCGCUGUCGGUCGUGCUGAAUAUUGGCAUGACGAUUCAUACGAUACGUCUGUUGUACAAUGAUGUCCUCUAUCUAUUUUUGGAGAUGUCUAUGCAUUUAUUUUUAUUCUUUGUUUAAUAAAUAUUAUUUGAAUGCUCCUCCCUGAAUUUGU